UAAGUGAAUAGUGAAAGCUGGAGGCUCAACCUUACAGACUAUUAUUCAAACUGGCAAACUCGAGAAUGGUAGAGGUAACUGGAAUUUCUUGUGUAGGAGUGAAAUCCGUAGAUAUAAGAAGGAACACCAAUGGCGUAGGCAGGUUACUGGACCAUUUCUGACACUGAGGCACGAAAGCGUGGGGAGCGAACCGGAUUAGAUACCCGGGUAGUCCAUGCCGUAAACUAUGGAUGCUA
rnacentral:rRNA from 1 species